UUAUGGCUCAGGAUGAACGCUGGCGGCGUGCCUAACACAUGCAAGUCGAGCGAUCUCUUCGGAAGAGAGCGGCGGACGGGUGAGUAACGCGUGGGUAACCUGCCCUGUACACACGGAUAACAUACCGAAAGGUAUGCUAAUACGGGAUAACAUACUUUUAUCGCAUGGUAGAAGUAUCAAAGCUCCGGCGGUACAGGAUGGACCCGCGUCUGAUUAGCUAGUUGGUAAGGUAACGGCUUACCAAGGCGACGAUCAGUAGCCGACCUGAGAGGGUGAUCGGCCACAUUGGAACUGAGACACGGUCCAAACUCCUACGGGAGGCAGCAGUGGGGAAUAUUGCACAAUGGGCGAAAGCCUGAUGCAAGCAACGCCGCGUGAGCGAUGAAGGCCUUCGGGUCGUAAAGCUCUGUCCUCAAGGAAGAUAAUGACGGUACUUGAGGAGGAAGCCCCGGCUAACUACGUGCCAGCAGCCGC
rnacentral:rRNA from 1 species